GAUGAACGCUAGCGGCAGGCUUAAUACAUGCAAGUCGAGGGGUAGCAAGAUUGUAGCAAUACAAUUGUUGACGACCGGCAAACGGGUGCGGAACACGUACACAACCUUCCUACAAGUGGGGAAUAACCCAGAGAAAUUUGGAUUAAUACCCCGUAACAUAGCGAUGUGGCAUCACAUUGCUAUUAUAGCUUCGGCGCUUGUUGAUGGGUGUGCGGCUGAUUAGAUAGUUGGCGGGGUAACGGCCCACCAAGUCUACGAUCAGUAGCUGAUGUGAGAGCAUGAUCAGCCACACGGGCACUGAGACACGGGCCCGACUCCUACGGGAGGCAGCAGUAAGGAAUAUUGGACAAUGGACGCAAGUCUGAUCCAGCCAUGCCGCGUGAAGGAUUAAGGUCCUCUGGAUUGUAAACUUCUUUUAUAAGGGACGAAAAAAGGUCUUUCUAGAUCGUCUGACGGUACCUUAUGAAUAAGCACCGGCUAACUACGUGCCAGCAGCCGCCGUAA
rnacentral:rRNA from 1 species